GCAGUAAAGAUACAGCACAAAAUAAGGGAAAUGUUAUACAUAAAGUCACUUUAACAUGUGUGUAACAUUUCACAUUUCAUCUCUCCAGUGAUGUUACACAUACUAAUGUAAUAUUUGACGCUGAGCUUCCUUUUUCAUUGACGGACUAAAGUUGUACUGUGAUGAUGAUUUUAUUUUUAAAAAUUCUUACAUUUACAAACCCUGAAAAAGGUGAUCCAUCCUUUAAAUCACUAAUUUAAAUCCAGUAAAAAAAGAAUCAUUAACAGAAAACUUCCCACCUCCAGCUUUUGGAAAAUGCUGCUACCAGUCUGUUAACCAGGAGGAAGAAAAUACAGAUCUAAGAGGAGAGGGAGAGAUUCAGGGAGGAGCUAAGCUGUUACUGAACUAUAGAAGAGAGAGGAACUUCCAUAUUCAGCAGAGUUCAAUACACAAACCAGAAACAUUACCUUUAUCCAACAUGCUGUCACUGCAUCAUUGUGUGUUUUCUCUACUGUUUCUGUACUUUAUAACAGGUGUCAGCUGUGAAGAACUCACUCCAAGAAACAAGAGUUUAGUUUCAAAGACAGCACUGUUACUCUGUCCUACAAUUAUUACAAAGGUAAUGAUGAUUAUUUUUUCUGGUAUCGACAAUAUCCAGGAAAACCACCAGAGUUCCUCAUCUCUCAUCUGAAAUCAGGAGAAAUCUUUGCAAAACCAGUCUCUGGAAUGUCUGUUACAGUGAGUGAGGAUAAAACCCAAAUGGAUCUGCAGAUCUCCUCUGCUGCAGUGACAGACUCUGCUCUGUACUACUGUGCUGUGAGGCCCACAGUGACAGGAAACACCAAAACUCUGUACAAAAACCUUUGGAGCAAAGACAACAGAAUACUCCACAACACCCUCUAGAGGGAGUCACACACUGUCAAACUACAGUGGUAUGUGACUGAGAUGUAAAGCUUUAGAAAUUAAACUACUGACACUGAAAUAGAAAGGAUUAUACCUUUCAGAUAUAAUAAAGCACAAUUCUGAAUGAAGUAGUGAAGCAGUAAAGAUAAAGCACAAAAUAAGUGAAAUGUUAUACAUAAAGUCACUUUAACAUGUGUGUAACAUUUCAUAAAAUUAUAUCAACAAUUAUUGUUACAUAGGCAAGUGCUGUAGAUACAGGUCAUAGGUCUGUACUCUCUUUGUGAUUCAUAUAAUACUAACAAUCAUGAUAUUAUUAACUUCAUUUAUUUUAGUUUGAGUGAGUCCAAUAAUUUGACACUAAACGUCUUUCAGAGACAGGUUAUAAAGAUUUGAUUGAGUACAUUUGACAAUACUAAGUUACAGAGGACAGGGCAGAUACAGGACAGAGGCCAUGUUUAACAAUUAGGACCUCUCUCAUUUUUAUUAUCUUGCUUCUUCUCUCAGGUCUUGCAGGUUGAUCAGUAACUGAGUGGUUUGAGUUCAUGACUCAAGAUGAUGCACUCGGUGCUUGGUCAAAGGUUUGUAUCCUGACCAUGGAAAGCUUUAAGAAAAAUGUCUUAAACUUUCGGAGCUAGUUUGACAUUAGGUCUACAAUAUGUUCCAGAUCUUUUCUAAAUUAUUAAUUGUAUUCAGCUGUUAUGCACACUCAAACAUAUUUUAAACCCAUCUUAAAUUUUGAUUGUUUUGUUAUAUAUUCCAGUUAAUCCAGUAAUUAUGGUAGCAGUUUUAUUAUUUGUAUUAUUAUUAAUAAUAAUUAUUAAAAACUAA
ensembl:lncRNA